rnacentral:rRNA from 1 species
AAGAGAGAGACAUGCGCGCAUAUCAAUAAGCGGAGGAAAAGAAACUAACUAGGAUUCCCUCAGUAACGGCGAGUGAAGCGGGAAGAGCUCAAAUUUGAAAUCUUCAAGGUUCUACCUUGACGAAUUGUAGUUUAAAGAGGUGUUUUCUGUUGAAGUUUUGGUAAAAGUUCUUUGGAAUAGGACAUCAUAGAGGGUGAGAAUCCCGUAUUUGACCAUUAUUUCCAGCUGUGUGAUACACUUUCAAAGAGUCGGAUUGUUUGGGAAUGCAGUCCAAAAUGGGUGGUAAAUUUCAUCUAAAGCUAAAUACUGGCGAGAGACCGAUAGCGAACAAGUACCGUGAGGGAAAGAUGAAAAGAACUUUGAAAAGAGAGUUAAACAGUACGUGAAAUUGUCAAAAGGGAAGCGUUUGACACCAGUGUUGUUUUCUCGAAAAUCAAUUAAAAAAGGCAGGAUUUUGUGUUGUAUUGACUUUAUCAGCUUUCUGCACUCUUUACUUGUCUUUUUUAAUGCACUUUCCGUUUAACAAGUCAACAUCAAUUUCUUUUGUUGUAAAAGGGUCAUUGGAAGGUGGCUUUCUUUUCGGAGAAAGUGUUUAUAGCCUUUGGCCUCUGCAAUCGGAGAGAUUGAGGUCUGCAGCGUAGAUCCUUCGGGGUUAGAUACAUUUGUGCUAAGUUAUAGCCUUUCAUAGACAACUUGUUGACUAUGAUCAGUCAUGUAGCUUACUCGCUUAGUGCUAUUUUACCUACGCUUAGGAUGUUGAUGUGAUACUGCGAGCA